GUAGGGUCGAAUUGGAUCUAGGAGAGGUUCUUUCCUCUCUCCUCCCACGCCCUUUUAAUAUCGUCCCCGGGCUGGGUGCCCUUCAGGGGACCUGAAACCAAGUGAGUCCCAGAAAGGCCCUGGCUAUUGCCAAGCCGGUGGCCUACUGCCGCGCCGCUAUGGCCCCUGGUUAAUGUGCACUUGGCGGCUUAGGUGUCCGCGGGGGAAAAUCGACUUUGGCUGCCCCAGGGGCCGACGCAAGUCUAGAGCAGCUUCAGGCAGUUCCCGUGCGUGACUGCUUACAGAAUAGAUGAAACUGAUGCCUUAGGGGUCAGACGUGUGGUGGAGACGCAGCUGGAUGGACAUCAGAAGAGAAGGGCUCCCUUCGUCCAUUGCCGCUGCCAGUGCCCGCAAGGCUGGCUCAGACCAGGGAGUCCUGUGCAGUCUGCUCUCCUCCUCCGUAAGAUAAUGGGAUCAAGGCCAAAAGGACAAAAUGAUUCAUAAGGAUCUUUUGGCACCCAGCUUCUGUUAUCCUCCAAAUAUUUACUAUUUCGACCACAAAUGAAAACCUGUUUUCGGAUGGGCUUAGAUAAUAAGGAUAUUUAGAAUCUUGUGAAACAGGAAGUCCAGAGGUAGGGCAGCCUUCAGGACUGGUUGAAUUAGCAGCUUAACAAUGUCACCACCUACUGGGUUCUUUCUAACUCUCCACUCGGCUGUUAACAGAGUUGGCUGCUGGUUCAUCUAGCGGUAAAGAUAACUAACAGUAGCAACAGGAACCCUAUGAUUCACUUUUCACUUCCACUGGGCGAAAGAAGUGACUUCUAGGUCUUUUCUUCGUUGUCUCUGAAGCCUCCUGAAACCAUCUCCUUCAAACAUUUUGACUAGAAUUGUGUCAUAGGCCCAAUCUAAGCCAGCAAGGAAUAUGGAAUGCCCAGUGGACCAGCUGAGUCUUGAGCUGAGUUCUCUUUCCCAAAGAGCACUUCUUCUCUCAGUGGGAGUGAGGUGGAAUGGGUGGUGGCAAGUCCACCGCAAGUCCACAAUAGGAUCAUUGGAAGAAUUUAAUGACCAUAAAAGAAAAUAUAACUAACGUAAAUCCUUCAUUUCCAUUGUGAUUUUUAGACAUAAAUAUUGUUUUACUUAGGUAGGCAAAAUAAUAACAUUCAUUUAUAUUGUUCUUUAAGUUCAGCUUUUGAAAAAGAAAUUUUAUAUAAAUCUUAGAAGUAUGGAUAAAGUUUAAACCCAUUUUGUGUUAGAGGUUAAAAUGAGCUAGAAACAAUAGUCUAAACCCAUCAUUUACAGAUGAACGUUGUGCCCCAUAGUGAAUUGACUUGGCUAAAUUCACAAAAACUCAUUACAACUGGAGUCUUUGCCUCCACAGCCAAUGUUAGGUUGGGAAACAGCAUGUUAUUGGCAGGUUCCUUUUCCCCCCAUUGGCUAGAUUCAAGAUUUAGCAUUUAUUCAUUAGCGUAAAAUAUUUGUAUGCCGUUUUCAAAAUCAAAGGCAUAGCUCUUUGUAUGAUUAUUUCUUUUUGAAACUCCUAAUUGGGAUGCAUAACUCAUUGCUGGCAGGAAUGGGUCAGAAGUUAGAAGUUACAGGAAAAACGUUUCAGAGCAAAAGCCACACCCUGCCCAGAGAAAAACAAUUCCUGUCCACUGCUCAGCUCAGCAGCAAAACUGAAACUAGUGACUCGAAUUUCAAAUCACUACGAGGGGACGGGGCACAGAGAGGGCCAGCUCACAGAUCCAUGCAGCCACGCAGCCACCGUGAUCAGGUGCACGGCCAGGAACACGCAUCUGCAAUUGGAUAGAUACAUCGGAAAAACUGCAACUGAGGACGAAGAGGUUAAAAAAAUCUUCCCUGGGCAAGAAGAAGAGAACAAAACCUUUGAGAUAAGCUUUCCUAACACAGCUGUGCAUAUCCAGCAUGAUCAACGGUUGUUCAAAAGUAACCAGGUCUUUCUGUCCCUCCCUCGUAUGUGAGUGAGCAUCUUUCCCGGGAAGUCAAGGUCCAGACAUGGAGAUUCAGCCUCGCAAGGCCAAAUGCAAGUUGAAGAUGAAAACAAACCAGAAAAGUCCAGAUGGUCAGGGAAAAGAAAAUUCAGUCUUCAAGGCCAAACACAGGCUGCUGGCGAGGCGCCAACCAGCACAGCCACUUGGUUCCCAUUCCCACCUAAAACCCCAGCACGUGCUCCCCCUCUCCCACCUAAAACUCUAGAUAAAAACCUCUACCUCUUUCCCUUCAAGGAGGUGGAUCUGAGUUCUAACUCCCAUCUCCUCAUCUGGCUGCCUUUUGAUAAUAGUAAACCUCUUUUCUUGCCACAAGCCUGGUGUUUCAGUUUUUUUCUUUAUUGGCCCUACUAUGUGGCUGGUAAAUGAACCUGUGUUUGUGUUCAGUUACAAAACCAAUAGGAAAAUUAUAGCUCUACAGUUUUUCGCUCUUUCAAU
ensembl:lncRNA